rnacentral:pre_miRNA from 15 species
GGCCGCGGCCCGGCAGUAGGUGGGGGGUGGGAACGGCUUCAUACAGGAGUUGGUGGACAGUUAUCCAGCUCCUAUAUGAUGCCUUUCUUCAUCCCCUUCGACCGCGCGCAGCAGCCCCGG